rnacentral:rRNA from 1 species
GAUUAAGUUAUUAAGGGCGCACGGUGGAUGCCUUGGCACUAGAAGCCGAUGAAGGACGUUACUAACGACGAUAUGCUUUGGGGAGCUGUAAGUAAGCUUUGAUCCAGAGAUUUCCGAAUGGGGAAACCCAGCAUGAGUUAUGUCAUGUUAUCGAUAUGUGAAUACAUAGCAUAUCAGAAGGCACACCCGGAGAACUGAAACAUCUUAGUACCCGGAGGAAGAGAAAGAAAAUUCGAUUCCCUUAGUAGCGGCGAGCGAAACGGGAAGAGCCCAAACCAACAAGCUUGCUUGUUGGGGUUGUAGGACACUCUAUACGGAGUUACAAAGGACGACAUUAGACGAAUCAUCUGGAAAGAUGAAUCAAAGAAGGUAAUAAUCCUGUAGUCGAAAAUGUUGUCUCUCUUGAGUGGAUCCUGAGUACGACGGAGCACGUGAAAUUCCGUCGGAAUCUGGGAGGACCAUCUCCUAAGGCUAAAUACUCUCUAGUGACCGAUAGUGAACCAGUACCGUGAGGGAAAGGUGAAAAGCACCCCGGAAGGGGAGUGAAAUAGAACCUGAAACCGUGUGCUUACAAGUAGUCAGAGCCCGUUAAUGGGUGAUGGCGUGCCUUUUGUAGAAUGAACCGGCGAGUUACGAUUUGAUGCAAGGUUAAGCAGUAAAUGUGGAGCCGUAGCGAAAGCGAGUCUGAAUAGGGCGUUUAGUAUUUGGUCGUAGACCCGAAACCAGGUGAUCUACCCUUGGUCAGGUUGAAGUUCAGGUAACACUGAAUGGAGGACCGAACCGACUUACGUUGAAAAGUGAGCGGAUGAACUGAGGGUAGCGGAGAAAUUCCAAUCGAACCUGGAGAUAGCUGGUUCUCUCCGAAAUAGCUUUAGGGCUAGCCUCAAGUGAUGAUUAUUGGAGGUAGAGCACUGUUUGGACGAGGGGCCCCUCUCGGGUUACCGAAUUCAGACAAACUCCGAAUGCCAAUUAAUUUAACUUGGGAGUCAGAACAUGGGUGAUAAGGUCCGUGUUCGAAAGGGAAACAGCCCAGACCACCAGCUAAGGUCCCAAAAUAUAUGUUAAGUGGAAAAGGAUGUGGCGUUGCCCAGACAACUAGGAUGUUGGCUUAGAAGCAGCCAUCAUUUAAAGAGUGCGUAAUAGCUCACUAGUCGAGUGACACUGCGCCGAAAAUGUACCGGGGCUAAACAUAUUACCGAAGCUGUGGAUUGUCCUUUGGACAAUGGUAGGAGAGCGUUCUAAGGGCGUUGAAGCAUGAUCGUAAGGACAUGUGGAGCGCUUAGAAGUGAGAAUGCCGGUGUGAGUAGCGAAAGACGGGUGAGAAUCCCGUCCACCGAUUGACUAAGGUUUCCAGAGGAAGGCUCGUCCGCUCUGGGUUAGUCGGGUCCUAAGCUGAGGCCGACAGGCGUAGGCG